rnacentral:rRNA from 1 species
UGGCGGCGUGGAUAAGACAUGCAAGUCGAACGGGAUUUCAUUUGUAGCAAUACACGUGAAGUUCAGUGGCGUAAGGGUGCGUAACACGUGGGCAAUCUGCCGAGAAGUGGGGGAUAGCUCGCCGAAAGGCGAAUUAAUACCGCAUGUGGUUAGUGAGGACAUCCUCGCGACACCAAAGCCGGGGCAACCUGGCGCUUCUUGAUGAGCCCGCGGCCUAUCAGCUAGUUGGUGAGGUAACGGCUCACCAAGGCUAUGACGGGUAGCUGGUCUGAGAGGACGACCAGCCACACUGGAACUGAGACACGGUCCAGACACCUACGGGUGGCAGCAGUCGAGAAUUUUUCUCAAUGGGGGAAACCCUGAAGGAGCGACGCCGCGUGGAGGAUGAAGGUCUUCGGAUUGUAAACUCCUGUUCAUUUGGGAACAAUUGUUGGCGAUUAACUGUCGUCAGCUUGAUAGUACCAGAAGAGGAAGAGACGGCUAACUCUGUGCCAGCAGCCGCGGUAAUACAGAGGUCUCAAGCGUUGUUCGGAUUCAUUGGGCGUAAAGGGAGCGUAGGUGGCGGGGCAAGUCAGGUGUGAAAUCUCGGGGCUCAACCCCGAAACUGCACUUGAUACUGCCUUGCUAGAGUACUGGAGAGGAGAUUGGAAUUUACGGUGUAGCAGUGAAAUGCGUAGAUAUCGUAAGGAAGACCAGUGGCGAAGGCGAAUCUCUGGACAGUUACUGACACUGAGGCUCGAAGGCCAGGGGAGCAAACGGGAUUAGAUACCCCGGUAGUCCUGGCAGUAAACGGUGCGCGUUUGGUGUGGGAGGAUUCGACCCCUUCUGUGCCGGAGCUAACGCGUUAAACGCGCCGCCUGGGGAGUACGGUCGCAAGAUUAAAACUCAAAGAAAUUGACGGGGGCCCGCACAAGCGGUGGAGUAUGUGGCUUAAUUCGAUGCAACGCGAAGAACCUUACCUAGCCCUUGACAUGCAUCUCUAAGUCGGUGAAAGCCGGCGACUGUAGCAAUACAGAAUUUGCACAGGUGCUGCAUGGCUGUCGUCAGCUCGUGUCGUGAGAUGUUGGGUUAAGUCCCGCAACGAGCGCAACCCCUGUGAACUGUUGCCACCGGCCUUCGGGCCGAGCACUCUGUUCAGACUGCCCUGUGAAACGGGGAGGAAGGUGGGGAUGACGUCAAGUCAGCAUGGCCCUUACGGCUAGGGCUGCACACGUACUACAAUGCUCAGUACAGAACGAACCGAAACCGCGAGGUGGAGGAAAUCCCUAAAACUGAGCCCAAUUCGGAUUGGAGGCUGCAACUCGCCUCCAUGAAGCCGGAAUCGCUAGUAAUGGCGUAUCAGCUACGACGCCGUGAAUACGUUCCCGGGCCUUGUACACACCG